CUGACAAAGAAAAGAAGGGGCGACGAUUGUGCCAAAAAGGGCUGCAGCCACGUGCAGCCUGUUCGCUGCACCAUCUGCGCCCAAUGCCUGCCCAAGGACAAGGCUAUUAAGAAGUUCCUCAUCCAAAACACAGUAGAGGCCACCGCUGUCAGGGACAUUUCUGAAGCAAGCGUCUUCACCGCCUAUAUACUUCCGAAGUUGUAUGUAAAGCUACAUUAUUGUGUGAGUUGUGCCAUUCACAGCAAGGUAGUCAGGAAUUGAUCUCGUGAAGCCUGCAAGGACCAAACACUCCCACCCUGAUUUACAUGUGCAGGUGUUGCCCUACGGCCUCCACCAAAGCCCUUGUAA
rnacentral:lncRNA from 1 species